rnacentral:rRNA from 1 species
CCGUUAAUCCCGUCUUAUCAUGCAAGUCGAGCGAAUCUUUGGGAGCUUGCUCCUAAAGAUUAGCGGCGGACGGGUGAGUAACACGUGGGCAACCUACCUUACAGAUGGGGAUAACUCCGGGAAACCGGGGCUAAUACCGAAUAAUCCAUUUCUUCGCAUGAAGAGAUGUUGAAAGACGGUUUCGGCUGUCACUGUGAGAUGGGCCCGCGGCGCAUUAGUUAGUUGGUGGGGUAACGGCCUACCAAGACCACGAUGCGUAGCCGACCUGAGAGGGUGAUCGGCCACACUGGGACUGAGACACGGCCCAGACUCCUACGGGAGGCAGCAGUAGGGAAUCUUCCACAAUGGACGAAAGUCUGAUGGAGCAACGCCGCGUGAGUGAAGAAGGUUUUCGGAUCGUAAAGCUCUGUUGUAAGGGAAGAACACGUACAGGAGUAACUGCCUGUACCUUGACGGUACCUUACCAGAAAGCCACGGCUAACUACGUGCCAGCAGCCGCGGUAAUACGUAGGUGGCAAGCGUUGUCCGGAAUUAUUGGGCGUAAAGCGCGCGCAGGCGGUCCUUUAAGUCUGAUGUGAAAGCCCACGGCUCAACCGUGGAGGGUCAUUGGAAACUGGAGGACUUGAGUACAGAAGAGGAAAGCGGAAUUCCACGUGUAGCGGUGAAAUGCGUAGAGAUGUGGAGGAACACCAGUGGCGAAGGCGGCUUUCUGGUCUGUAACUGACGCUGAGGCGCGAAAGCGUGGGGAGCAAACAGGAUU